rnacentral:rRNA from 1 species
UGAGGAAUAUUGGUCAAUGGGCGGGAGCCUGAACCAGCCAAGUCGCGUGAGGGAGGACGGUCUUACGGAUUGUAAACCUCUUUUGCCGGGGAGCAAAGGGCGCCACGCGUGGCGUUUCGAGAGUACCCGGAGAAAAAGCAUCGGCUAACUCCGUGCCAGCAGCCGCGGUAAUACGGAGGAUGCGAGCGUUAUCCGGAUUUAUUGGGUUUAAAGGGUGCGUAGGCGGGCCGGUAAGUCAGCGGUAAAAUAGCGGGGCUCAACCCGUCGAGCCGCUGUAACAUGCCGGUCGUUUGAGUGGGCGAGAAGUGCGCGGAAUGCGUGGUGUAGCGGUGAAAUGCAUAGAUAUCACGCAGAACCCCGAUUGCGAAGGCAGCGCACCGGCGCCCGUCACUGACGCUGAAGCACGAAAGCGUGGGGAUCAACAGGAUUAGAUACC